UUAAAAGCGUUGACGGAGACAAAAAUACUUAAUCUAAUUAAUUACAGAGAGCCAAGAUUGCUGAGAAUUGGUGUUAAUUUAAGUAUAUAAUGAUCACUCCCAGCUUUCAUAUUGAAAAGUUUUCUUAGUAAAUAUGAACGUAUGCUAGCGUUACUUAGCUAUAGUUAAGAUUAGCUCUGACUAGAAUAAAUGAGAGAUAACCUGUAUAUUUUUUUAGGUUAUAAGUAAGGUGGUACCGCGGAAUAUAACUUUCGUCCUUAUG
rfam:Terrisporobacter sp. 08-306576 Contig064, whole genome shotgun sequence.